UACUAAUCAGAGGUGGAAAAAACUGUCAUAAUAUGAAGCUAAGCAAGUGAUGGAAGGAAGGAGUGAAGCAGUUGAGUUUCUAGGUAACUAGAGUUUCUGGCCAAAAGACAUUAUAAGGUACAGAGAAAAGUAUCUUAGGAGGUCAAAGAGACUACAGUAAGAGAAAAAAGAUAGUCUGGAUUUAAGGUUUACACGCUGCCUUUCUAACCUGGCCUCACAUUUACUGGCAAUAAUCACAGGAAUGAUAUCUUUUUUGAGUCCAUCUGCACAAGAUUCUUCUUCAGAACCUUUCUGCUCAUCGGUUGAUUCUUCAUUCUGGGUUGCAAUAUCACAUCAAUACAAGGAAAUCAUCAUCAAAUCUAGUUUACAACAUCACUUUCAAAUGAACUCCCUGCCGGAAGCUGUUAUGGUAUGGUGAGUACAUAGCUUUUUCUGCCAGGAAAUGAACUUCAAAUGCAGAGGGCAAAAAGAAACAAGUAAGAAUGAUUGCUGAUGGGCCAGAGUUGAUUAAAGAAAAUGGCAAGACAAUUAAGGGAGAAGUGGCUGAGUGACAAACUCACAAAACCCAUAUUCUCACAGCAGCUGGGCAGAAAUGCAAUCAAAGAGGACAUUCAGCCAUUUAUAUCAUCCCAGUCCCAGAUCCUUAUUAGCUGGAAUGAAAGCACUUUGCCCCUGUGAGGGUUUAACUCUCAGCAUUCAACUGGCUAUGUCUUGUAAUUUAGUUAAAAAGUGACACUGAAGGAAUUAGCUGGAGCUAGUCUCCUUAGAACAUCUCGCUAGGCAGUUUCACCUCCUCAAAGUCCAUCUAGCCACCCACACGCACAGAAAGGGAACUUGAGAGAAAUUCAUUCUGAAAAAUGGGCUCCCUUCGAGAACCAUCAUCCCUCUGAGGGUACCAAAGCCUCAGUCAGCAAGGUACACCUUCCUUUCCUGAGGAAGUACCUUGACAGUCUCUCUCACUCUCCACCCAACAUUCUAUUUCUCUCCUCUGCCAGCAGUGAGCAUCAGCUGCUAAAGGCCUUUCACGCUCCAUAAAGAGCCAUCACCUGGCUACAUGCACAGACUUCCCUACAAGGAAUGUCUGCCUUUCAUCACUUCUGGACAAUUCUUAGCCAUUUUCUUCUUUUGAAUAUGGUCUCUCCUUGACUCACUGUAUUCUCCUCUGGAACUGUUAUUAAACAUAUAUUGCAUAGAACUUGUCUCCUGUUACCCCAAUCUGGAUACUAAAACCCAAGCCCAUUAAUGGCUCUGAUAAUCCUUUUCCACUAGCCCCUUUGGGUAGUACUACCAAGUGGGUAUGCCAAGAGAAAUGGAAAAUGAAACUGACCAGAUAUAUCAUUGACUAUUUUUAUCUUUAAUUACUCUGGCAACUCCAGGGAGGCCCCAACUGUCUGGAGAGAAGGAUUCGUAUUAACCAUAAAAUGUGAAGAAUUUAGCAAACAGUUUGAUUUUUUUACUGUUAAAAAAUGCUUUUUAAUAAAGUUCAAAACUUUGUUUCCAA